rnacentral:tRNA from 1 species
GGACCUUUAGCUCAACUGGUUAGAGCACUCGGCUCAAAACCGAGCGGUCGGAGGUUCGAGUCCUACAAGGGCGG